rnacentral:lncRNA from 1 species
GAUAAUACCACCAUGCCUAUAUAUGACUUGAAUGUUCCCAAGUCCCAACUUCCCAUAUGCAUAAAUAUUAAAUCCUCCUUUUUCUUGGGAUUUAAAUCUCUCACAGGCCAUGAUCAAAUUCACCAAAAAGCCAACACAGGCCCAAGAAUCCACAACCUAUUAAAAGUGGUAGACUCACCACGGAGCUCCAGCUAGACCCCGAAAAAUAUGGGUCAACUGGAUAUAGAUUUCCUGGUGGACCGGGUAAGUAAAUAUUAAAUGGCGGAGGAGGGCAGUUCAGGCUUGGCGUUGGCGGCUUCUUGGGUGGCGGAGGCGGUGGAGGAGGACUUUGGUUACACGGGUUGUUGCAAGCCGGGCAACUGCCGCACUUGACUUCAGUGUUAGGUGGGGCGGGGGCUUCGUCUAGCUUUCUUGGUUGCAAUCCGUCUAUCACAGCUGCAACAGCAAGGAUAAUGAGGAAAGUUGCUAAAUAUGACAUCUUAAUUUUAUGCGGAGUUUAUUCAAGUCUCUUAGAAAGGUUGAUUGAUAUAUAUAUAUAUAUAUUCAAGUCUCUUAGAAAGGUUGAUUGAGAUAUGUAGUUAUGUAUGUGGUAUGUAUAAGUUUGGUGGUGUGAGGUGGGUUUGGAGUGAGAAAAAAGAAGAAGAAAGUGUAGGGGGGAUUGAUUCGAUUGAUUGAAUGCGUUAUUAGGUGGAGCGUGGAAAAUGAAGAAGAGCGUUGCUUAUUUGAAGCAAAGUAAAAAGUAAAGUGAUGGAGGUUUACUCUUUUAUAUAUGCCUGAAAAUUAUAUUGAAACAAUUUAUUGAUCAAUAUGUUGAGG